GGCUGUUUGAACAGAAAAGGAAAUAAGAAGGGGAAAAGAAGAAAGAAAGAAAGAGGAAGAGGAGGAGAAGCAGAGUGGAAGGAGAAGAGAAGGAGCUGCUGUCCCUGCUCCUACGGCCCUGCUCCUACUGCAUGCGGCUAUUGAUGUUGCUAACCCUGUUGUAGCUACUGUCCAAGGGUUUAGUGACUACGAGUGCAGCUGAUCAAGGCCGAGGAUGGUGCACUGAAUAACAGGUUGCUGUACAUGGUGCUAAAAAAGGGGGCUGCUGCUACAUACUUGCUGCUAUACCUGCAAAAUUAAGAUGGUGGAACCAGUGCUAAGGCACGAUUGGACUUCAACAGCGGUUAUGAGGCUUGUGUCUACGAGACACCGAGUUGCUAAUGGAUUUCACUACUGUUAAUUUAGAUAUUUCUUUUGACAUAAAUAUUUAUGAAACGUGUAGUAAGUAAUAUUGUAACCUACUGUUGUUUACAGACAUGAAAUUUGUAUAAUAUAAAUUAUCAUUUUAGUACAUCACCAGUCGGAAAUGUAUGAUUUUAUUACUCGACUC